rnacentral:rRNA from 1 species
UACGAGUGCCUCAAGCGUUAUCCGGAAUCACUGGGCGUAAAGGGUGCGUAGGUGGCACUGUUAGUCUUCUGUUAAAACCUUCGGCUUAACCGAAGAGAUGCAGGGGGAACGGCAGUGCUUGAGGAUGGGAGAGGUCUGUGGAACUCUAGGUGUAGGGGUGAAAUCCGUUGAUAUCUAGGGGAACACCAAAAGCGAAGGCAGCAGACUGGCCCACUCCUGACACUGAAGCACGAAAGCGUGGGUAGCGAAUGGG